rnacentral:lncRNA from 1 species
UUUUUUUUAUAUAAUUAAAAAAAACAUCAACAACACUAUAUUUGUCCCCUUCCUCCCUCCAAGAAAAGUGUAUAAAUUGUGUGAGUGACCAUUAGCAAGCGUCUUAAGGGAGUUACCAUUUGAUUUUUAUGGGGGGGCUAGGAUGAAAUUUGAAAAAAAUAGGCAGGACAGGAGUUUUGAGAAAAAAAAAAGGCAGGAUGAGACAAUUGCCAAAAAAAAAAAGUCAGGACGACAAUUUAGGUAAAAAAAAGUCAGGAUAAACUAAAAAAAAAAAAGCAGGACCAAACAGAGUGAAAAAUAAAAAGGCAGGACAGAGAUUACAGCUAAAAAAAUGCAGGACAAAAUUUUUCAUCCUAGCCCCACCAUAAAAAUCAAAUGGUAGCUCCCUAAGU